rnacentral:rRNA from 1 species
GUCUUUUUGAAAUAAUUUAAAGUCUAAUCUGCCCACUGAUAAAAAAUUAAAGGGCUGCAGUAUAAUGACUGUACAAAGGUAGCAUAAUCAAUAGUUUUUUAAUUGAAAACUUGUAUGAAAGAUUUGAUGAAAUAUGGACUGUCUCUAAUUUAUAGAUUGAAUUUUAUUUUUUAGUAAAAAAGCUAAAAUAAAUUUAAAAGACGAGAAGACCCUAUAGAGUUUUAUAUUUAAUUUUAUUUUAAAAUUAUAUAAAAAUUAAUAUUAAAAAUAAAAUUAAAUAUUAUAUUGGGGUGAUAGAAAAAUUAAAUUAACUUUUUUUGAAAAUUAAACAUAAAUAAAUGAUUAUAUGAUCCAUAAAUAAUGAUUAUAAGAAAAAAUUACCUUAGGGAUAACAGCGUAAUAUUUUUUUUUAGUUCAAAUAAAAAAAAAAGUUUGCGACCUCGAUGUUGGAUUAAGAUAAAAUUUAAAUGCAAAAGUUUAAAAAUUUUGAUCUGUUCGAUCAUUAAAAUCUUACA